GACCUGGUCGAGUGGUCCGCCUAACGGUGUGUACUGCUUGACUGGGCCUUACCUCUUGGUGAGCCGGCGUGCCCUUUACUGGUGUGCGUCGGGGAACCAGGACUUUUACCUUGAGAAAAUUAGAGUGCUCAAAGCAGGCUAGCGCCUGAAUACAUUAGCAUGGAAUAAUAAAAUAGGACGGCAUGGUUCUAUUUUGUUGGUUUCUAGGAUUGACGUA
rnacentral:rRNA from 1 species